rnacentral:rRNA from 1 species
GACGAACGCUGGCGGCGUGCCUAAUACAUGCAAGUUGAACGCUUGCGACUGGUACUUGUACUAGACGCAAGAGUAGCGAACGGGUGAGUAACGCGUGGGUAACCUACCUCUUAGCGGGGGACAACUAUUGGAAACGAUAGCUAAUACCGCAUAAUAAUUUUUAACACAUGUUAGGAAUUUGAAAGUACCAACUGGUACACUAAGAGAUGGACCCGCGUUGUAUUAGCUAGUUGGUAGUGUAAUGGACUACCAAGGCGAUGAUACAUAGCCGACCUGAGAGGGUGAUCGGCCACAUUGGGACUGAGACACGGCCCAAACUCCUACGGGAGGCAGCAGUAGGGAAUCUUCGGCAAUGGACGAAAGUCUGACCGAGCAACGCCGCGUGAGUGAAGAAGGUUUUCGGAUCGUAAAACUCUGUUGUUAGAGAAGAACGUCAGUGAGAGUGGAAAGUUCACUGAGUGACGGUAUCUAACCAGAAAGGGACGGCUAACUACGUGCCAGCCGCCGCCGUAACAC